ACUCCUACGGGAGGCAGCAGUAAGGAAUAUUGGUCAAUGGGGGCAACCCUGAACCAGCCAUGCCGCGUGCAGGAAGACGGCCCUCUGGGUUGUAAACUGCUUUUAUCCGGGAAUAAACCCCCUUACGUGUAAGGGGCUGAAUGUGCCGGAAGAAUAAGGAUCGGCUAACUCCGUGCCAGCAGCCGCGGUAAUACGGAGGAUCCAAGCGUUAUCCGGAUUUAUUGGGUUUAAAGGGUGCGUAGGCGGCCUGUUAAGUCAGGGGUGAAAGACGGUGGCUCAACCAUCGCAGUGCCUUUGAUACUGACGGGCUUGAAUACACUUGAAGUAGGCGGAAUGUGACAAGUAGCGGUGAAAUGCAUAGAUAUGUCACAGAACACCGAUUGCGAAGGCAGCUUACUAAGGUGCAAUUGACGCUGAGGCACGAAAGCGUGGGGAUCAAACAGGAUUAGAUACCCUGGUAGUCCACGCCCUAAACGAUGAAUACUCGAUGUUAGCGAUAUACAGUUAGCGUCUAAGCGAAAGCGUUAAGUAUUCCACCUGGGGAGUACGCCCGCAAGGGUGAAACUCAAAGGAAUUGACGGGGGCCCGCACAAGCGGAGGAGCAUGUGGUUUAAUUCGAUGAUACGCGAGGAACCUUACCCGGGCUUGAAAGUUACUGAAGUAUCCAGA
rnacentral:rRNA from 1 species